AUACGUAGGGGGCGAGCGUUGUCCGGAAUGAUUGGGCGUAAAGGGCGCGUAGGCGGCCUGUUAAGUCUGGAGUGAAAGUCCUGUUUUCAAGAUGGGAAUUGCUUUGGAUACUGAUGGGCUUGAGUGCAGGAGAGGUUAUCGGAAUUCCCGGUGUAGCGGUGAAAUGCGUAGAGAUCGGGAGGAACACCAGUGGCGAAGGCGGGUAACUGGACUGCAACUGACGCUGAGGCGCGAAAGUGUGGGGAGCAAACAGGAUUAGAUACCCUGGUAGUCCACACUGUAAACGAUGAAUGCUAGGUGUAAGAGGUAUCGACCCCUUUUGUGCCGGAGUUAACACAAUAAGCAUUCCGCCUGGGGAGUACGGCCGCAAGGUUGAAACUUAAAGGAAUUGACGG
rnacentral:rRNA from 1 species